UACGUAGGGUGCAAGCGUUAAUCGGAAUUACUGGGCGUAAAGCGUGCGCAGGCGGUCUUGUAAGACAGAGGUGAAAUCCCGGGGCUCAACCUGGGAACUGCCUUUGUGACUGCAAGGCUUGAGUGCGGCAGAGGGGGAUGGAAUUCCGCGUGUAGCAGUGAAAUGCGUAGAUAUGCGGAGGAACACCGAUGGCGAAGGCAAUCCCCUGGGCCUGCACUGACGCUCAUGCACGAAAGCGUGGGGAGCAAACAGG
rnacentral:rRNA from 1 species